GACGUAGGGCGCAAGCGUUGUCCGGAAUUAUUGGGCGUAAAGAGCUCGUAGGCGGUCUGUCGCGUCGGUCGUGAAAACUUGGGGCUUGAACCCUGAGCUUGCGGUCGAUACGGGCAUGACUGGAGUUCGGCAGGGGAGACGUGGAAUUCCUGGUGGUAGCGGUGGAAAUGCGCAGAUAUCGGGGAGGAACACCAGUGGCGAAGGCGGCGACCUGGGCCAAUAUUGACGCUGAGGUGCGAAAGCGUGGGGAGCAAACAGG
rnacentral:rRNA from 1 species